rnacentral:piRNA from 1 species
UUACAGUAAUCAGUUGAAUGCCAUGAUCUGU